rnacentral:lncRNA from 1 species
AUCCUCUCUGAAGCUGUAAUAAUGUUUUAGAGCUACCCCACUGUCCUCGAUGCUAGGACAUGGCCAACCUGGAGGUGAAGGUGAAAAAUCCUUGCCCUCAGCCCAGCCCUUUGAUUCUCAUUGCUUUAGCCCUCUAGUGGUAGCCAUUGCAAUCUCAGAAAGACAGUUACACCAGACUUGAAGAACAAAUAGUGGAUUUAAUCUGUUUCAUAGCUUCAUGUGUGACCAGUUCACAGCCAAGGAUACAUAUGAAUAUCACCAAAUUAAAUUCAGGGAUUUCCUUAAAACAUCAGGAGGGAGUUUUGCAAAUAUAUUUUAGGAACUUGAUUGUGUGGUCCUCAAGCAUGAAUUAGAAGAUCACUUUGUAUCAUAACAUCAAAAGGUUAGAUACUUCAGAUGAAUACAUAUCGUAAAAACACAUAUUAAAUCAAUCUUAACUCUGAGAAGACUCCAUUGUUAGGAAGUUAAAGUUGUGACCCACUCAGUUAUCUUAGUAAACCAAACAUGUAAUGAAAAAGCUGUUUUAGAAACCCAUACCACUUUACAUUGAGUGUCCUAAGCCUUGUGACAUACAAAAACGUCUGCAUUUUCAACAUCUCUUACCCAUCGUGUAGAGUGAAAAGAACUUUUUGUAUGAAUCCCUCUUCCCAUGAGCUUAUUCUCGCCAUCAGAAAUGCAUUUCUUUGCUUGCAUCUGUUUAUGGGCUGCUUCCUUCCUUUGUUAAAUCCAGAUGUACUUCAGGUGUCUUGUUUUCCUGGAAGGUAUAAAACCAUGAAACAGCAAACAUCAUGUUUUGUCUUUUACAAAAUGGAAUUAGAUCCACAUUAUUAUCAAGUGUUACACUGUUACUUGUUAAUGUGCUUUUUACUAUCUGGCUUUAAUAACCAUGUGACAUUCUUUGUUAAAUGCUGAUAUCUCCUUUUGCUUAACAAAUUUAAAAUAAUUCAGGAUGUUAGAUUUGCUUGUAUUUCAUGAAUUAAAGGAAAUUUGAACUAA